ensembl:lncRNA
AUGGCUAAUUCUCUUGGACUGUGGCCUCUUUCUCCUCAGCUCCUUUCCUGUAAUCGGUCAGCACGGCAAGAUGGGCAGCUACCCAACCGCUGUGCUUCUGUGUUGUUUCUAUGGAUUCGUCGCUGUCUGGGCCCAGGAGACAGAGCUGCCGUACUUAGAAAAUGGGGAAACAGCAACAGGUCAGUGCAUAGCACACACACACACACACACACACACACACACACACACAUAUAUAUAUAUUGUGUUGGUCAUCCUCUAGUCCUUCAUCAGUGGUCACAGGACGCUGCCCACAGAACGCUGGAUAUUUUUGGUUGGUGGACUAUUCUCAGUCCAGCAGCAACACUGAGGUGUUUAAAAACUCCAGCAGCACUGCUGUCUGAUCCACUCAGACCAGCACAACACACACUAACACACCACCACCACGUCAGUGUUACUACAGUGCUGAGAAUGAUCCACCACCCAAAUAGUACCUGCUCUGUGAGGGUCCAUGGGGUCCUGACAUACUAA